CCUACGGGAGGCAGCAGUGGGGAAUAUUGGACAAUGGGCGCAAGCCUGAUCCAGCCAUACCGCGUGGGUGAAGAAGGCCUUCGGGUUGUAAAGCCCUUUUGUUGGGAAAGAAAAGCAGUCGAUUAAUACUCGGUUGUUCUGACGGUACCCAAAGAAUAAGCACCGGCUAACUUCGUGCCAGCAGCCGCGGUAAUACGAAGGGUGCAAGCGUUACUCGGAAUUACUGGGCGUAAAGCGUGCGUAGGUGGUUGUUUAAGUCUGUUGUGAAAGCCCUGGGCUCAACCUGGGAAUUGCAGUGGAUACUGGGCGACUAGAGUGUGGUAGAGGGUAGUGGAAUUCCCGGUGUAGCAGUGAAAUGCGUAGAGAUCGGGAGGAACAUCCAUGGCGAAGGCAGCUACCUGGACCAACACUGACACUGAGGCACGAAAGCGUGGGGAGCAAACAGGAUUAGAUACCCUGGUAGUCCACGCCCUAAACGAUGCGAACUGGAUGUUGGGUGCAAUUUGGCACGCAGUAUCGAAGCUAACGCGUUAAGUUCGCCGCCUGGGGAGUACGGUCGCAAGACUGAAACUCAAAGGAAUUGACGG
rnacentral:rRNA from 1 species